rnacentral:tRNA from 1 species
GGCUUCGUAGCUUAAUGGAUAGAGCAUCUGACUACGGAUCAGAAGGUUGCAGGUUCGAGUCUUGCCGAGGUCA